UAGCCGUAAGCGAUACUCGCUAGGUGUCGGCCACGGUGCGACCGUUGUCGGUGCCGUAGGGAAGCCGUGAAGCGAGCCACCUGGGAAGUACGGCCGCAAGGCUGAAACUUAAAGGAAUUGGCGGGGGAGCACCACAACGGGUGGAGCUUGCGGUUUAAUUGGAUUCAACGCCGGAAAUCUUACCGGGACCGACAGCAACAUGAAGGCCAGGCUGAAGACUUUGCCGGAUUAGCUGAGAGGAGGUGCAUGGCGUAGUCGUGU
rnacentral:rRNA from 1 species